GAUCGGCAGAUCACAAAAUUUCAGCCUAAUGGGUCAUGGGCUGGUGGCAGUGGCACACGGUACACAUACUUACUUUUUAUGAAAAAACAGAAAAGUUAUUCUUUUGUUUUGGCACCUUUUAAUUAAUCUAUUUAUUUUUGGUUAAAAAGAAGAUUAGUGUGAAAGAGUGGUUUCGUUUGAAAAAAACCAUUACAUCUUGUCUUGUAUUUAAAUAGAUUUUAUGAAAAUGAAUGUAAGGCCACGUUAAUAACCACUACCAUUAUAAAUAAAAUUAUUAUCAAAUAAAAUAGAAUGUAUCUGUUUUAAGGUUAUAAAAUUAUCUCAUUUCAAGUUUCGAAUUGAGGAUAAUUACUUUAACCACACAGAGUCAUGAAAAAUCUAAUUAGAGCAAGAUCAAAGCAAAUGACAACCAAACGAUUUCAAAAGAAAGCAAUGCAAUGUUACAGAAACAAAAACUUUUACUGCAAAACCAAUCCUGAAUGAAACAAAUACAUUACUUCCAACAUAAAAAAAUAAUAAUAAUGGAACAGAAAUAGAGAGAAAUGUUCUCCCUAAAUGUUAGCUGUGACUGCCAACCAAUUUACACCCCCACCAAUUUACAAGCACUAACCUUUUUGAAACCAAGGAAAAAGGGUUGAGACAAAAUGCGUGGUUAAUAAGGUUUAGCCUGAGCCUUGCGUGCGCAGCUUGUUGGCAACGUAGAGCAAAUGGCUGAUAUUUGCCGAGGGAUAGUUUUGGAGAAGUUUAAGAUUAGAAGUAAAAUCCCCUGCUAGUAGGCGCCUUCGAACGAGAAUCAGCAUUGCACAGCAUACCCGAAGCAAUGUCUCCUGCAAAUACAUGUAACUAGUAAUCAUCCCCAAGCUUCUGUAAUCAUGCAUAUUUUGAUCCAUGUAAAAGCAGAGGUAGCAUGCAAACAGUCAAGAAACCAAUUACAAAUUGUAACUAUGGAAAGCCAUCAGCCCAACAACAUUCAAACAAAUUUCAAGAAAGAGAGUUAAAAUUCUGCACAAUCAUCCUAAAUGACCGGAACCAGUUAUUAGAGCAAACACUUCAAAUUUAAGGUUUGCAAUUGUCAUCAUAAAUACGUAGCCGAAAAAAUAUCCUAAUUUUAAUAUAUCAGUUAACCAUACAAAUGCAUAAUAUCACUGCAUAAGUUGGAUCAUAUAAUUAAAUCACAUAAUCAAUGGUUGGUGUCCUCACCGCCCUAUCCCCAAAUUAAACCUAAUGAUAUGGCCAAACACCCCUUGACUUGGCAGUAACCAGCAACUUAUGACACACCAAAUCUUAGGUUCAAACCUGGAAUCACCCAUCUCCUCCCCUAAUUUCCCAAUGAGUUAAAUAAUAAUAAAAAUAAUAAUAGUAAUUGGAAUAAUUGGUCCAACAAGCUUCAAGAAAAAAACUACAGAGAGGUAAAAAUUGCAAUCUUACGAGAGGUCCUUCAGGGUCACUUAGAAGUGUGUCCCAGAUGUGAAGGCUGUCAGCAAAAUUGAAUUCCUGUGUCAAGAGCAGAGUAAUCCACCUAAAUGCGUAAAACUGGGGGUUGACCUGUGAUAUUUAUACAUAGUAGUUAGCAUUAAGCUGAACUAAUUGCCUUGGCAAGAAGGGAAGAAAUGACAAGGGGGAAAGGGGUGCACCGAGGGUCGUUGUGCAGGAUGUAGGGUUGGUGGUAAGAGGCAGCAUGAGUCAAGAAAAAAAAAACAAGACAAGAAGGAUAUCGAAAAAUAGCACCUAUACUCUACAGGAAGAUGUUUAGUUUUUACAAUGAUAUCUUACUUUAGUUGUGACCUCCAGAUGACGCCAAAGCUCUUCAUCAUGUUCCUUCAGAAGCUGUGACAACUUAGUAAUUGUGGAACGGAUUCCCACAUUGCUGUUGUCAAGUUGCUGGCAGAAAUGAUCACGGAAUCCACUCAGUAACUCAACAAAACAAAAGAAUGUGUCGGCUUCAGCAGCGGCCUGCAGAACUUAAAUAUGGGAAAUGAUGAAGAAAAUAAUAAUGCAUUGCAUUCACAUAACAGUACCUUUAACCAGACUUUAAUCAUAAUGACAAUGGAAUUAAUAUAUGUUAUUUUUACAACGGUUAUUGGCCAUGUAAUUGCUCUAUAGCUAUCUGUACUUUGUAGACACUUAUACUCCAGAGAUUUUUUGGCAUACAAAAUUUCUAACUCAGAUAAGUCAAUGAUGAUAAAAGAACAUCAACAUAUUUUGUUUUCCACAAGCUCCAUAUAUAUUUGAAAGUUUUGUUCAAAACAACUUUUUGGGUUGCUUGGGACAAGAAAAGGAAUAGAGCUGGGGGCAAUGGAGUUUUAGACAGAAAUAACAAGAAAGAAACUGGCAAGCUAGGUUGUUGAGAGCUUCACUAGAUGAAGGAAAUGUAUGUCCUAAAGCUGGACAAACAGGAAGGUUCCAGAUGAAAAACCACCCCUUUUAGGUUGCACCAACAACUUUGACGCUGAAAAAAGACAUUAAUACUAAUAAUGAACCAAGGACAUUUUACUUUAGGGAUUCAAACCAGAAAGACUUGGACAUAAGCUGUAAAGACUGUUCAUUCCACAUCUUAAGGUUCAUUUUCCUUCGGUCUUUUAUUUUUGAGAAAAGUAUAUUUUCUUGUUUAUAUCCUUUUCUGAAACUUGCUUCCAUAUUAAAAUACAUGAAUAGUCAAAACAAUCACCUCACUUUUGUAUGUGACUCUUUUUUCUUUUUUUACCAAAAAAGAGAAAAAAAAAAAACUGCGGCAUCCACAAGAACAACAGAGACACACACAAAGGUAGAAAUGGCAUGACACCAAACGAACACUGAAAGACAAUUAUAGUUAGAUAAUGUUUCCAAAAAAGUAAGAUGUUGUUAAAGACAAGAUGCAAGCAUGUUAGAGAUUAACAGAAAAAAACUGGAUAGGGAAGAUAUGAGAUCUUCUUACCGCCAUUUCCUCAUCAGGGUCAUUUCUGAAAACAUAGAAUAGAGGUGCCAAGAUUUCAUUCAUCCCUUGAACAUAUCUUAUACCCGGAUUUAACUUGGCAAAUACGAUUAAUAUGUUUCUCAAUGCAUCCUGAAUAUGCAAGGUACAUGUAAGUCAGCAAUGACUUCAAUUCAUAUCAAAACUUAAGUCCAAAAGAGCAAAAGAAUAAAAGCACAUGAAAGAACAAAAGAAAGAAGAUGAUGUAUACCUGAUUAGACUUUGCAAGCUGUGAGUCCCCAGAGAAGAAGUGCAUGUCUGGAUGAGUGCGCUUCACAUCUCGGUCAAUCUGUUCAAUGAUUUCCGAGUCCUAGGAAUAUACCAAAAAAAAAAAGUUGGAGAUCAAUAAAAACUUUGUUCACUAGUUACAAGUAAGAUGCUUAUACUUAAGACCUUCUCUAUAUUGAACUUCAAAAGAAGAGAUUUUAAAUAAUUGGGCUCAUCAACAACAACAACAUGACUAAAAUUCCAAGAAGGCCAAAGCAAACCAAAAGGGAAAAAACCCUCUUUUCCCAAGGCUGCUAAAUCAGGAAAAUUCUAAGUACAAAUUCAAACAUUAUUGACAGAAUUUAUAAAUAAUUGAAAAUCAAAACUCCUCUGCAUUGCUGUCAUGUAUACGCUUGUAUAAAAACCUGGAAAUAAUACUCAAGUUGCAGGACACUCAACUAAGCAUUGACCUGAAACCAGCUGGCCAAAAGCUGCAUAAAAAAAUUUUUUUCCCCUCAUUUCACUUUCGUUAGGGAUGUUCUCAAUCAGAAGUUUAGCAUCCUCUUAUCUUUCUUACUACAAUGCUAAAAAACAUUAACAACUAUAAAUACCAAAUCCCAGCCUCUAAUAAUAAUAGAGAUAAUCUAAUACAAAAUAGACUUGAUUAUUCUUAGUAAAUUAAAGCUUUAAUGUAAAUGAUAGAGACUGCAAUGCUAACAUUCUAAAGGCUGCAUGGUAGUGCAAACUGCCCCUGAAAUAACUACCAUUAAAGUAUUUGUCUGCAGAAAGCUAGAGUGACCCACAUUUUAAAACUUAGACUUCAAACAGGAAAGAUGUUUUUCUUACUGGAAUGCAUGAGGAUUAUUUUUGCCAAUUGCAAAGAAUUAGGAUGUCCCCUGUGCAAGACAUUAUUCAGUCAUUCAAAUAUGAAACACAGUAGUACUUUUACAUUAACUCUAUACUCCAUUGUUUUUUUCGCUUUUGUGUAUCUAAUUGUUAUCCCUCAAUCUUUUGUCAAAUAUGCACUAGACGUCAGGCUCUGAUGAAAAUAAAUGAACUAAUUUCAUGAGAAGUGACUCAGCCAAGUUUAUACAAUCUAAAUUUAAAGCAUUCAACAGAUAAAACACAUAAGAUGAAGUAUGGCUUUCAAAAACUGAUUACCAAAUGACCCUAACAAGAUACCUGGAAGAAUUGAUUCCAGAUGCUGCUCUUCCCAAGGCUCAAAGGAUGCUCUCCAUGAGUUAUUUGUGAUCUUGACAGCGGACCACGGCUUUCAGAUUUUGACUCAUCAUUGUCACAACCCGUGGACUUCUCCAACCUCCUUGUGAUUUCUGACUGACUAGCCACAGAAACAUUCAGAAAUCCAGAACUCGUACAGAAAAGGAAAAGGAGAAAGAGAGCAGCCACACAAGAUAACACUACUUUUUGAGCUGAUAAUCCAAAAAAUGGAGAAAAAAAAAAAACUCAAGCAAAGUCAUUUUAUUGUUAGGAGGGAAAAAAUGAUCUAUCAAAUGAAAGAAAUUGCAACUGUACAGUCACCAAGAGAGGGUUAAAUUUCAAUUUCUCACUUAUUAAAAUAGUCAGCUCCAUGUUCUAGCUAUCUGCCAGCCUCAGUUUGUUUCAGUUCUUAUCCACUUAAUGCUUUAAAAACGCUUGUUAAAGUUUUACAUUAGCAUUAAUCAAAGAAACUAAUCAUACUUAUUUGAACAGAUUGCAUACAGUCAUAGUAGUGUACACAGUCCGUACACUAUAUUAUCGUGCAAAAGUUAAAGAAAAUCACUUACAGGAUUCAUCAAGAGCUCUUCCUUAAAAUGCUUGUACUGAGACCUUUUCUUAGUUAAUUCAGACGACCAUUGCCCACGAUCAGGUGGUAAGUAACCUAACAACAACUGCCACAACAACCAAACAAAUCGUAUCCUAUUAAUCCAGAAAAAAACACCAAAUUUGAAAUGCAUCCCAGCUAAAAAUUCCACAUUUCUCAAUUUUCUCAGCAGCGAAACAAAAAAAAAGGAAAAAAAAAAAUCCUACCUUCCACACAGUAGACCUGAUUCCUUCACCAUCAGGAAUCCCCUGCGACGCAAUCCUCCGCAAUUCCCGCAUAUUUACCACCUUCUUUGACAACUAACAGAACAAAAAAGGAAAAAUUAAAAAUAAAAUAGAAGCAGAAGAAGAAGGAAAGAAAAUCAGUUAAAAAUAUGGAGAAUCAGUAAAAAACCUCGACCAAGAGCUGAGCCUGGCGAGAGAUAUCCUCAGGAGAAACGUCAGAAGAGCUGCCGUUUUGAUCAUUAUCAUUACUAUCAUUGUCACUAUUAUCAUUAACUGGAUCUCUAAUUUCGGAUUUUGGAGUAGGAGAGGACUGAGGUCUUGACGCUGCCGCGGGAGGAGGCACUGGAACCGGAGGCUGAACAGCUGGCUCGGAAACGGCAGCGGUGGCGGUGGUGGGAGAAGGGGAGUAGCGUUGGAAGCGAUCGUCACUGGGAGUUGUGGACCAGAGCGAACUGUUGAGCCAAUCAGGUACUCGCUUCCUCACCAUUUCAAGAUUGGAAUCGAGAUUUGCUCUCUAUUUCUAAAAAUAAAUUUGUGAAUUUUUAAAAGCAGGUCGUGCAAUUUGUUGUGAAAAUUGGGAGUCUAAAGUAGGAGAAUUUUUGAGGGACUGAUUUCGAGUUGAAGAUGUGAG
rnacentral:lncRNA from 1 species